UACGUAGGGGGCAAGCGUUGUCCGGAAUCAUUGGGCGUAAAGCGAGCGUAGGCGGCCCGAUAAGUCUGCUGUAAAAGUCAACGGCUCAACCGUUGAAAGCCGGUGGAUACUGUCGGGCUAGAGUUCGGAAGAGGCAAGUGGAAUUCCUGGUGUAGCGGUGGAAUGCGCAGAUAUCAGGAGGAACACCUAUAGCGAAGGCAGCUUGCUGGGACGAUACUGACGCUAAGGCUCAAAGCGUGGGGAGCGAACAGGA
rnacentral:rRNA from 1 species